rnacentral:rRNA from 1 species
GGCGGCAUCGCACUGCCAUCGAUGGGGGCAGCCGCGCUGCCGUUGCACCCGGAGCCCACCGCGCCCACCGCGCUCCCGCACUACCACCACCACCUCUUCUCCAUCAAGCAACUCAACACGUUGGGUGCCGCCGCCGUACUGGCCUUCUCGACCACUGUGCCGCUCUCGAAGAUCGCCUUUGGCGUCCUGCUCCUCCCCUACCUCCUCCUCCUGGCCACACCCGCCUUCCCGCAACGCCCCGGGAAGCCCAACCCGUUCGCGCCCGUCUUUCGCGGCCUCGUGCGCCUCCUCCUCGCCACGCACACCAUGGACGAGUUCCUCUUCGGUACCGUGCUCCCAGCGUUCUACAUCCUCGACGGCCUCUGGUCCGGGGACACCACGGGGAUCGCCGCCGCGGCCCCGCAUGCGUACCUGCUCUCCGCACAGGUCUUCAACGAGGGGCUCACUGCCAUGUUCCCGUGGCAGUUCUCGCUCCCCGUCAGGGCCGCUGUACCGGUCAUGUACCACGCAAGCAGGAUGUUCGCGGAAGGGGAGUGGCUCCGGCAGGAGAUGGAGGGGGCGACUGCGGUGACGGGAAUAGAAGGCGACGGAGCGGCAGGAGGCUGGGCUAGUCGAGGAGUUCCCCUGCGGCAGCGGUGGCAUAGGAAACCCUAG